GAGAGAGAGGCAAAAGAGAGAGCGGGCUUUGAGAGAACUAUUGACUUUUCUAAACACAACAUUUUCAGACUAUAUUCACAUAAGUACUGUAGAUCUCCAGCACUUAAAUUCAGACAGAAUACAAUAACAAAAGUACACUUGACUUACCUUGAGAGACAGAGAAGACAUGAACAGAGUUAACAUGAGUGGUGUGCUCAUCUUCUUCAUGGUCGCCAUCACUGCUGUGCAGGGACAAAAAUCAGUGUGUGAAAACUGCUUGAGCUGGAUGCGACUCUGGUUACCGGGGCUAUUGUUGGGGACCUGCUGGUGAAAGGAGGGGUCAUCUUCAUUGUGUAUAGCUGGGCUCAGAAGAAGUCUGGACCUGCUGCACCCCAAAAACAGACGUACCGCUCAGCAGGCCGUGGUCCACCAGUGGUGCCAAGUCCUGACUAUGAGCCCCUUAGCGUGGCAACCUGCAGCAGAGAUAUCUACGCUACCCACAGGACUGGGUAGAAAAUCCUCUCACCAGACCACACCUGUUCUCUAGGACCCCUCUGAUGCCCUGGACCAGCAGGCCUCAGCUCACCCUGCCAUCAAAGAGGAGGGGAGAAGGCUCUGUAGUUCUUAGCAUAGACUUAAAGAGCUUCUUUUAUUUUAUUUAUUUCACCUUUAUUUAACCAGGUAGGCUAGUUGAGAACAAGUUCUCAUUUGCAACUGCGACCUGGCCAAGAUAAAGCAUAG